rnacentral:rRNA from 1 species
UUCCGGUUGAUCCUGCCGGAGAUCACCGUUAUUAGGAUUCGAUUUAGCCAUGCGAGGCGCGAGCUAUUUGGGCUCGCCGAACUGCUCAGUAACACGUAGUUAACAUGCCCUCAAGUUGAGGAUAAUCUUGCGAAAGUGAGGCUAAUACUCUAUAGCUGUCAAGUGCUGGAAUGCUUUGACAGUUAAAGCUACGGCGCUUGAGGAUUGGACUGCGACCUAUCAUGGCUGUUGUGAGUAUAAAGUACUCACAAACCUGUAACGGGUAGGGGUCAUGAGAGUGAGAGCCUCGAGAUGCUUUCUGAGACAUGAAAGCAGGUCCUACGGGACGCAGCAGGCGCGAAAACUUUCCAAUUCCUGAAAUGGUGAGAAGGGAAUCCUGAGUGAUUAUGUUUAACAUAAUCUUUUAUUUUGUUUAAAAAGCAAGAUGAAUAAGUGGUGGGUAAGACGGGUGGCAGCCGCCGCGGUAAUACCCGCGCCACAAAUGGUGAUCGCGAUUAUUGGGUCUAAAGGGUCCGUAGCCGGUUCAACAAGUUCUUGGUGAAAUCUGCUAGCUAACUAACAGGCUUGCUGAGAAUACUAUUGAGCUUGGGAUUGGGAGAGGAUAGGGGUAUUCCAUGUGUAGGGGUUAAAUCCUUUAAUCCAUGGAAGACCUCCGGUGGCGAAGGCGCCUAUCUGGAACAAGUCCGACGGUGAGGGACAAAAGCGUGGGGAGCAAACGGGAUUAGAUACAAACUUUCUAAUCCUAUGAUUUCAAAGAUGAUUGGAGGUUUGCUAGAAACCCCGAUAGUCCAUGCUGUAAACGAUGCCCGCUUGUUGUUGCAAGCUCUACGAGAGCUUGCAGCGUCGGAGCGUAGGUGUUAAGCGGGCCACCUGGGGAGUACGGCCGCAAGGUUGAAACUUAAGGGAAUUGGCGGGAGAGCACACAAGGGGUGGAGGCUGCGGUUUAAUUGGAUUAAACGCCGAACAUCUCACAAGGGUUGACAGCAGAAUGAAGGUCAGCCUAACGGGUUUACCAGACAAGCUGAGAGGUGUUGCAUGGCCAUCGUCAGCUCGUACCUUGAGGCGUGCGGUCAAGUCCGUUAACGAGCGAGACCCAUGCUACCAUUUGAUAUCAUAUUUUCAGAUAAUAUCAAAAAAGUAUGAGCACUAUGGUAGGACCGCUGGUGAUAAACCAGAGGAAGGAGUGGGCGACGGUAGGUCCGUAUGGCCCGGAUACCCUUGGCUACACGCGGCCUACAAUGGUUGGGACAAUGUGUUGCAACGCCGAAAGGCGAAGCCAAUCACCUAAACCCAACCUCAGUUCAGAUUGAGGGCUGUAACUCGCCCUCAUGAAGCCGGAAUCCCUAGUAAGCGAACGUCAUAAUCGUUUGCUGAAUACGUCCCUGCUCCUUGCACACACCGC